UACACACAUAAAAAUCUCACAACUUGUCAACAAGAUGUGUUCGCAACAGGCUUGUGGCAAGCUUGUCAACAAGUUGUAACAAUGCUGUUAUUUUAUCAAGUUGCUACAAGGUUGUCACUCACAACUUGUUGACAAAUUGUUGAAUUGCAGGACGAUAGCAAGUUGUUCGAACAACUUGUAACGAGUCUGUUGAGCUCAACAACCUUGUAGCAAGUUGUCAACAAGCUGGGAACAAGCAGUGCGAACACAUCCUGUUGACAAG